UGCUCAGGUUGGCCUAGUGGUUAGAGCGUCCACCUUAGAUGCGGGAGGUUGCGGGUUCAAACCCUGGCUGAGUCA